rnacentral:rRNA from 1 species
GGUACGGGUGAGUAACGCGUGAGAAUCUGCCAUCAGGUCUGGGACAACCACUGGAAACGGUGGCUAAUACUGGAUGUGCCCUUCGGGGUGAAAGGUUAACUGCCUGUUGAUGAGCUCGCGUCUGAUUAGCUAGUAGGUGUGGUAAAGGCGCACCUAGGCGACGAUCAGUAGCUGGUCUGAGAGGACGAUCAGCCACACUGGGACUGAGACACGGCCCAGACUCCUACGGGAGGCAGCAGUGGGGAAUUUUCCGCAAUGGGCGAAAGCCUGACGGAGCAAUACCGCGUGAGGGAGGAAGGCUCUUGGGUCGUAAACCUCUUUUCUCAGGGAAGAACACAAUGACGGUACCUGAGGAAUAAGCAUCGGCUAACUCCGUGCCAGCAGCCGCGGUAAUACGGAGGAUGCAAGCGUUAUCCGGAAUGAUUGGGCGUAAAGCGUCCGCAGGUGGCGAUGUAAGUCUGCUGUUAAAGAGUCUAGCUCAACUAGAUAAGAGCAGUGGA